UUAAACUGAAUAAAAUGAAGUGCACCAUUAAUUUUUAAUUAUUCAUCAUUUGAUAUACAUAAUAAAUAUUUUAAAAUGUUCAUUACAUAUUUAGGUGUGAUGAAGCAUGAUUCUGCACAAGACUGAUUCCCCCCCAAUAUACUGUACAUUGUUUACAAUUGAGAGAAAUACCUUCAUUUUCCACAAUUCAUUUAUAACCCUGCAUACUACCCACAAUCAGUUUAUUUUUAGUUUACCUAUAGAAAGCAUUUAAAUUUUAAUUUAAAUAGUCUGGGUCAAAAAAAAUGUUUAAUUAUUUUAUUGAUUAUUAUUUAUAUUAUCAACAAAUAUAAUCUGCACAAAUGAGAUAGUACACACUUCUUAUUUUAAAUAUUUUUCUGAAUUAAGUUAAUACAUUAGAAUUUUCUUUCACAUUAUCUAAAGGAUGCUUUGCACGGCGGGGUCUAUUUUCUGGACUACAACAUGACAACGGCGGGAACAUGAACAUAUGAAUGUUCCAGUGCUCAGGUAAUAGUCUGCUUCAAAAUCGACGGCGAUGAAAAGAGUGGCGAGCGACGCAAAGCAAAUGACACGCUGUUAUCAAGAGGGCGCAGGUCUCACCUUGACGCAAUCCUCGGUGCAAUUUUGUCUUAGUUUUCACAGAGCGUUGGUUAACCAGACAGCCAGGAAAGUCAAAGUACGUGUUUAUUGUUGCUGUGAUAGCUGUUUAAAUUUGCGACCGCUUCCGGCCGUCCGUGACGCUUAAGAGGCUCCGAAGGAAACAGGAGCGGAGAGUUUCAGUUCCGCCUCAGCAUCGCUGCCAGGAUGCCCCUGUGAUUUAUCACCCACAUUGGAGCCCACGUACAGUCUACAGCGGUAAUUGCAUUCCUUUAACCCUUUAACACUGUUGUCUGCUGACAGAAAUAACUGUUCCUUCAAGUGCAAUAUAUUCAUAUACCGCAUAUAUCUUUAUUAAACUGGUUUUAUCAUCCUGUGCUGGACCAGCGUAUUUUAUCUUAUUUCCAGUUAAGCAAAAGUCUCAGUGUCAGAAAUAAUAUCGGUCAUAACAAGUCCCUUCUACAGUUCCUAAAUUAUAACUACACAAAUGUACACAGUACAAAAGCGUGUCUUAAAUGUAGGCUUCAGGUUUAUAUGUUUGUCUUGAAGUCCAUGAUGAUGAACUAGAGAAGCACGUUUUUAUUAUUUUAGGUAAUGACACAAUUAUUUUCAACAAAAAUGCCAUAUCUCCCUUAACUAACAGAAAAACAUGCUUGAUCAUUGCAGGGUAUGGAUCCAGUCCAACCAGUAUAACCAGUAACAUUUACUGUAUCAACUAAAUAAAGUUGUUU